GAGAAGCCGACAGACAGGAAAGACGGCUUUCUGGAUCUCACGCUCAGCGGGAGGGCGAGCCGCGGCGGAGUACCGGGAUCAAGCUCGGUGCGCGGCUGUGCGGGGAAGCCAGGCCGGCUCGGACGCACUGCUAGCGGGAGAAGCCUGCCGCUCUGGGAUCCCGGUGGGAGGGGAGCGGCGGCCGCGUCUGGAGUCCAUGGCGGGAGGGCGGAAAGCCUGAAGCCUCUAGAGGAGCCCCGUCCUGAGAAGCCUGGUCUUGCGGAGCCCCAUCCCGAGGGCCCUGCAGAGGGCGAGGUGUGGGGUCUUCAGGCGGCGGUGUGGCCAUGGGGCGCCGGCGGGUGUGAAGCAGACGAGAACUGGCCGGAUCCCAACAGGGACUUGAUGGGGGGCCCGCGGGCCUUCCCGACGGAGACGGGAGAAAAACAGGGCAAGGACACCCCGAAGGGUUCAGCCUGAGCCCCGGCAAGUCACAGCCACAGCAGCCCGCAGCACUAACCUUUCCACCAAC
rnacentral:lncRNA from 1 species